rnacentral:lncRNA from 1 species
AUUUUUUGAUAACCUGCCAGAUCUUUCACACACAGCCCUACCAUAACUUACACUAUUGUUUUCCUAAGUGUCCUGAACUUAGUAGAACUCUAGUUUGAGCACACCAUUACUGCUUUUUAACAAGUUGCUACAUUGCCAGGACCCUGGAGUCAGAAGUACCUGAUUCCCACCUAGAUAUUUCUCAGGCAUCAGUCAGACACUCAGCACCUGCAAACUGUUCCUACUUUCAGAACAUUUAUUUUCUGUUGCAGAACCUCCUCAGGAUUUCCUGGCAUGCAGUCUUUCCCACUGUCUAGUUUAAGAAACUGUUUCUGGUUUCGGAAACAUUAGGAGAUACAUAAAUAGGUCAAAUUUUACUCUAGCUUCAACUUUUCUGACGUAAAAAUCUCAGCAGAGAAAAAGCCAUGCAAAAAUAACACCCCAAUCAGAAACAAAAGCAACCCUUGCCCUCAGCAGACCCCAUUUGGCUUCAUCCCCUCUGCAAUUUGGAUAUGCUGACAAUUUAGUAGGGAAGCACGAAUCGCCGGGGUUCUGCUGUCCAAUAUUGGCCAAUGUCAGAAGAUACCCAAGCUCAAUCCCAGGCACCAGCCCCUGUCAGUGAAAUGUCAGUCACUCACCGAUGAUGUGACAGAAUCUCAGUACGCGCUCUACCUGCCUCGGUGCCUCUCAGUCCCAGGCUCCCAUCCUCUAGGCAGCCACAGACCGGCUCGAGUUCACAUUUAACAGGCAGGAAGGCAGGCAGGCAGGGCAGGCAGACAGUCCCUCGCGGUUCUGCUCAGCCUGGGAGGAAGCAGAGAACUGCGGAGUUUGGAGUCAUCUAGAGGGAAUCCUCUCCCUUCCACUGUCGCUCAAUGAGCAAGGGACGCAGGUGAACGCAUCCUCUCCGCCUAGAGCUUUAAAUAGCACUUUUACUGCUGGUUUCUUGCAGUUUAUGCUUCCUUCCACUCUGGAUUUGAUUAUAUUGGGAAAUAGAAGCCAACAUGAUUUUUUGCUCCUUGGGAUAUACAGCACUCUGCUAUAUGGAACAGACAACUUUUACCUGUUUCAUUUAAGGCUUGUUGUUUCUUAUAACUUCACAUGUGUCUUCUCAAUGGGGAGGAAGAGAGAGAAGGAGAAAGGGAGAGAAUCU